AAGAGCUGUCAGACUGCACUUCCUCUCAGUUUCCAAACACGGACCCAGAGAAGCAAACAUGUGGCCGGGCCCCUGGUUCCUGGUGCUGACUUUCAGCUCUGGAUGUUUGGCUCAGACCCUGACCCAGUCCAGAGCAUCGAUUACCGCAUCUGCCGGGAAAACCGUGCGAGUCAGGUGUCAAUUGAAUGAAGUCACGGUUAACAGCCUUAAUCCCAUUCACUGGUACCAACAGAAACCCGGCCAGCCGCCUACCAGGGUACUCUACUUUGCAGACAGCGUGACACGGGAUGCGGGAUUCGGGAAUACCUUCAAUGCGGGAAAGACUACCGACUCCGAUUUCUACCUCGCAAUCGAAGUAACUGCUGAACAAGCCGCCACUUAUUACUGCGCGUACUGGGUGUACACAGUAUGUAACAGAAACACAAACUCCGCACAAAAAGCCCGAAGAGCGACAAGUCAGCCGGAGCAGCUGAUCUGGAGACGGCAGUGA